AAAAAAAGUUAGAAAUUGUAAAUACAUACAGAUUAUAUAGCGUUGGAUUACAGCUGACAAACCUUAAAACAUCACACAUUGUAAAGAGGUCCUUCUGGGCAUGACAAGUACACAGCUCUUGCCACAUGACACCGGCCACCUUGCAGUCCUGGUACAACCACACCCAAGCUUCCUCUCCUCUGAUCAGCGAGGCAGAUUCAUUGAUAUGUUGGGGCUUCAGGGACAUGUCAGACUGUUAUACACUUUCCCAGAGCUUCCUCCCGUUUGUUCUGCUUAUCUUGUCUUGACCAGUAACAGUUUGCCAACUGACACCAGACCACAGACUACAGUUUGAAUAGCACUGUCAUAGACUCAAGAUUGGCAACUGUCCAGAAUGUAAACCUAUGCCAAGCACCAAAUGCUUGCCUGGCAGUAGAUGAAGGGAUAUGCCCAUUCUUGCUCUGGUCUGGCUUAUCCCAGCUGAUUGCUUGAGUCUUCUUUAAAAGCUCCACCUCAUCACACAGAUGUGGAAGCUGAGGCUCAGAGGCCUGGAGUGACCUGCUGGUGGGGAUGCAGCUGGAUCCAGAGGAAGAGUUAGAUCCAGGUCCUCUGAACCCCAGCCAAGAGCCCAAAUGCACAGCCACCCAGCCCAGCCCAUGCCUCUCUGAGGUUGAUUUGGGGCUGUCCUUGUGUGUUUCAGUCAAAGAGGGCUACAGAGUCUAGUCAGAGGCUAACAUUGCACUCGAGUUUUGUACCUCUCAGAAAAUGGCGUCCUUCUGGGGAUCAGCCUUGCCAAAGUGGAUGCCAUUGCACUAUAGCUGGUAAACAGCAAGGAGGUGUUAAUCACUGAAGGGAGGUAGAAUGUUUUUCCCCACCAGAGGAGGCAGCGACCACGUCUCCUCUAUGGAGGCAUUCAAGAGCCGUCCAGCUGAAGCAGCAUCACUGUCUGAGCUUGGAAGGCACAAUCCACAUAGGUCUGCAUGGUCCACCGAGCUACAUACCCACGGGGCCAGCGGGAGGUGGGCAGCUGCUGGGCUCUCUUCUGAAGCAGACAGGAUCUCACUCUGUUGCCGAGGCUGGAUCACAGCUCCCUGCAACCUUGAACUCUCCCUCAAGCAAUCCUCCCCACUCUGCCUUCCAAAGCACUAGCAUUGUAGGCCUAAGCCACCACUCCCAUCCACUGUAGUGUAAACUGUCUCCUUCAAUGUUUCCAAUAGUUGCGGAGCAGAUCAGAUAAGGGUUCUUCCUGUCUGUUGCUUCAAGUUUCAUUCUCUCUUUAAAUGAUAUAAGGUUGGCUUCCAUGGUUCCUUCUUAAAGAAUGUUGAAGGUGUGUCUUCAGAUUCAUUUAGUGUUCAUGGAACCCCAGGGAAAGCUGAUGUAAAAACCUCUUUUUUCUCCCAUAUGUCUCAAAAAGUUGUAUUUUCUGGGUCCAAGGGAUCUGCAAGCCUCCUAAAGGCAUUUCCAUUGUCACUACCAUCAGGUGUGAACUGUAAUCUGGCACGUGUAGUUCCAAGAACUGUCAUAAUAGAUGCUGAAGAAACAUUGUGAAGUUAACUCGCUGUUACCAACUGUGAAGUCAUUAGCUAGAGGAAUCUUGGGCGGUCUGAAAUCUGAGAUACUGUGGAAAGAACAGAAAGAUCCUGUAUCUUUCCUAUAAUUGUUCUACUGGAAGUUGUCAUUUUACACAGGAGACAUUCUGUUUUAUUUAUUUUCUUUUGAGCCAGGGUCUCACUCUGUCGCCCAGGCUGGAGUGCGGUGUUGUUACCACAGGUCACUGGUGCCUCCACUGCCUGAGGACUGCUCAAGCAAUCCUCCUACCUCAGUCCCCUGAGGAGCCGGGGCCACAGGCCUGCACCACCACGCCUGGCUAAUUAUUUUUAUUUGUAGAGACGAAGUCUAUCUUGCCUAGGCUGAUCUCGAACUGCUGGGCUCAAGUAAUCCUCCUGCCGUGGCUUCUCAAAGUGCUUGGGAUUACACAUGUAAGCUACCCAU
rnacentral:lncRNA from 1 species